CCCACAGAUGGGCUGCGCCGCACGGGUCACUGUACCUGUGUCCACAUCCUUCACCUGUUGCUUGGCUGCUGCAGUCCGAACAGUCCGCCGGCUCCUCCUUCAUCUCCUGCAGCACCAGCGACUUCUCCUGCUCUCGGCGCCUCCCUCCGAGCCGCCCCCUCCCCUGUAGGUGACGCAGAUGUGCACUGGAGCCUUCAGAGAGGAGAGUCAGAUGCAUACUUCAAUCUUCCUCAGGCAAUGAGCCAUCAAAAGAGUGUUACACCAAGCCCUUCAUGAAUGCAAGUGGAAGAAGAUGAGAGAUGAUUUCCCUAACGCAAUAAGAGACAGCUUGAAUAAUCGUUGAGAAGAGUACAGAAGUCAAACAUUAGCAGUUCUAUUACCGUUCUUUUAUAUCAUUAUUGAGCUAGUAAAAUCUAGUUAUAAGUCAAUAUUAGAGUUUGUAUUCUAGCCUAGACAGUUAUGUAUUUUAAUAGAACAAGAAAUUCAGGACACAAAGCCCUACUUUCAAUGGAAGAAAAAUCACUACUGUGCAUUUUAAAUAUUGAUUUAUGCAAUGACAGCUGAACUGCAAAGUCCCCUGUGCAUUGAUUUUGCUCUCAGUAUUCAGUGAUAAAAAAAUGAUUUAAAAACUCUUUAAAGAGAACAGCAGAGACAGCUCAUUUUUAUCAAAAACUUAACUGUGUAAAUGUGUCCCAUUUGGAAGAUUAGUGAAGGAAAGUGUAAACCAAAAACAGAGCAGAAAAAACGUUGUCACUUUAGAAACUUGAAUGUCACACCUUAUUGUGUCAAAACUAUUUGUGAAGACACCAGUGUUAAAUGUAUGUUCCCCAUAUAGCCUCAACAUGUGGUAACAUGCCAUAGAAGAUUGAAAUAUAAAUGUGCAGUUAGUUUCAGAUAUUUUUCUGUAUUUAACCCUUUUUAAAAAUAUUCUCUAAAGUUUGAAAAAAAUCACUCUUGAGCUGAGUAGGAUUGUAUGUCACCAAAUAUGUUACAAAGUUCAGUGACAGGAAUUUGGCAUCUGGUAAUUAAUAUCUAUUUGAUUGUUGUGAUGUAAACAGUUGAUGUGUUUUAAAACAUUACCUUCUCAACUCGACUGUAAUAUUUUUAUAUGGUUAUUACUUUUGGAUACCUCAAUAAAUAUAUUUAAGAUAGCAUAUUUAAACAAAACUAGCCAAAUUUUCAGAUGUUAUUCUAACUAGUGCUUACUAUCUAACUAACUAAAGCAUAACUCGACAAAAAAAUUGAUUUAGCGAACAAAUUUUAUCAGCGUUUGAACAAAAUUAUGUGAAAAAUUCUAAAGAAAUUUUUAAGCAAAGUGUAUGCUCUCACUGACUUUGAACUCAUGAAGUUCUUGCAAUUUUUUCUUUCUUGUAACUAAAUCAUCAAUAUUUUGCUUACAGAAUUGGAUGGUAGCUUUAAUGUUAGUUGAAUCAUCUGCUCAUCAAGACACAAGUGUUGACUGCAAAUCAGGAUGUGUUGCCUUUUGUCUUGGUAUCUAAUAGCAUAUAGUUCACCAUACAGAUCAGUGUGUAUUUCAAAUAUGAACACAGAGAAACACAUGUUUACCAUGUAGAUGUGGAAAUCCCCCACAGGCUUGCUACUUUGCUCCAUAUUCAUCAAUGUAAAAAAUUAUCUCUAUCACUAUGUAGUAAGCAAGAACAACAACAAAGAAGUAGCUCAUGUCAUAAUACAGUACCGAGUGGAUUUCUUAGCACAAAGUAUAACAACUACCUUAGAAAAGUUUGCUUUACUUAUGUUUUUGAGUUUUUGUUGUUGGUGCUUCUGCUGCACCAAAAUUGUACCUUUAGAAACUGUCAUGUGGGGUGGGGGGAGGACACAUUGUACAUCCUCAUAUGCCAAGAUGACUACAAAAUACAUUUAAAAUAUAUUUGUGUAGAUGAAACUACUGGGCAGAAAAUAACUUAUAACAACUAGUUAUUCUGUAGACUUAGUGUUGUAAGGAGGAAACCUACCAAAAAGUAAAAGGUGAGGAAUAUAGUUAUGUUCUGUUCCAGAGACCUAGAGAUAUGAUACCAGGGAUGUAUAAUAGGAGUCUUCACAUAUUAAUAAAGUCAGACAUGUUUUACAUUGACCAUACAUAGUUUUGCUAAUGAACAAAAGAAGCAAGAAAAGACAGGGAUGCCUGUUAUUGAAGGAAAGCAUCUUUUUGCCUAAUACACCAGAGAAAUUGUUCAAGAACAGUUCAUCCUUGCAAAAACAUGCACCAUGAAAAGCUCACAAGGUCAUUGUAAGCUUCACUUAUCAGCCAGGUAUUGUAAAUGUUGGCUGUGCAAGUUUAACAUGCAUAUGUUAUGUUUUUCAUUCAUUAAACCACAUCUGUACUUGAUUAUCCCAGUGCCAUUAAAUUCAUCUUCUCUACCCUUUCUGCUUACACAUAACCACAUAUGUUGGAUGAGUAUCCCAGGCCUCAAAUACGCCUUGUUAAUUCACACCAUUUUAAUUUAGUUUACAUGGAAGUGGCACAUAGCUAAUUUUUUCAUGCAUAUUGCAUGAAAAUAUAUGAUAAAAGGGUCAAGACUUAGAGCUCUUUUGCAUUCAGAUUCAUACUAUCUUCUAUUUUCUGUCUUUCUAUCCAAGUGUUGUGCUGGUGAAUUAAAUCAGCAUGACAGGGUCCCUCAUGGAAUCUUGUGCAUGUGUUCGUUCCGUGUUUAUAGAAACUCU